UCUAAAGGCAGAAACAUUAACUUCUAUCAACUUGUGGAUGAACAAUGCAAAAUCAAGGUCUAGUACACAUUAUGAUCCAGACCAUAACCUACUAUGUGUGGUUGAUGGAUACAAGUUGUUCUGUAGCCGCCUUCUGCGGUUUCAUCAUUAUAUCCAAUGCCUAUAUACAGUGGGGCCUCAAAUCACAGAAAAGCCAGACUUGUCAACUCAUUCAAGAGUGCAGAACUCUAUGAUGUACUCCCAAAAAGUUACUCUGCAAGCGGGUGAUGCACUUUUCAUUCCUGAAGGCUGGUUGCACCAAGUGGAUAGCGACGAGGUCACUAUAGCUGUUAACAUCUGGUGGCGAUCUAGUAUUAUGACUAGUUUACCAGAACACAUGGAUGCAUAUUAUCUACGCAAUAUCUUAAGAAGGUCUUUGUUUUCCUUAAGUUAAUCAUCUUUCUUAUCACCUUCUGUUUUUGCUUGUUAGUAGUCUGUACUUGGAAGAUGGAACUUCCAUGAAUUGUCGCUUAACUGAUGACUGACUUCCCUUGUUUAUUUUCCAUUUUUCGAAUUGUUUUCCACAUCAAUAAUUCGUGCAAAGAUACCAACACGGAAAUGGUUCAAAUGUGAUAUCAAACUUCAAUUAGUAUUGAGAAUUCCGGACAGGAGGAUUCUUCCUGGUUGACAAUGGACAAGGUCAGCGUGAGCGCGAUCUAGAAAAGAACUCUUACAGUGAGCAGUCGCAGGGACCAUAAAAAAUAAGAGGAUAACGAUACAGCAAAUGGACACAGUUUCCCCGCAAGCUCUUCAUCAACUUGUUUCUUUAGUUCAUGAUGGAGUGAACAUUGCUAGUCAAAGUGAACAACUGCAAUCAACACCAACGGAAGAUGAAUGCAAGAAGGAUGUUCAUCCUAAUUCAUUUUGCGCGGAAGAAGAUCCAGUUGCUAAGGUCAUUUCGACUCUGGAGCCACUUCAACUUCAAAAUGUCUUGCUUGGCAUGGUGCAUAAUUUUCCAAGAAUGUUGGAGGCUCUAAUACUGCAAAUGCUUUCACCUGCGUCAGCAGAAGUACUGACGAGGAAGUUUGAUGAACUAGAUCAAUUGACGAGUCAAGAAACCGGGAUGAAUUCUACCAGGCUGUUUAUGGUGUUUUUGAUGAUCAAUUUGCGGCUAUAAGUGCUGUUUUGAAUGGAUAAGAGUCAUUUGCACUCCAGGCGUUCAAGAAUGUACUGGAUAAAUAUUUGGGAGUAAAUUUUGAUGGACAAAAAUUGUAAGUUGGAUUUAAUCAGAUGUCGGUCUUACCAAGGAAGACGCUGGUAGUAGUACUGUCUAAGACGUAUUCAAGCUGCAGCACUAUCUUCCCGGACCACCAAAACACACAAAUUACUAGAAGAAGAAGAAGACGAAGAAGAUUGAAAAUUGACUUGGAUGCCUCAACUUUUCACUCACGCUCGCUUAUAUGUUUACCUCGAGUUCCAUUCAUCUUUAGAGAAAAGAAAGAAGCCUAGUGGUUUCUUUGGGUUAGGUUUUUCUUUUCUUUAUAAAACUACUAGCUAUCUCUUUUGUGUAUCAAAACUGAUCAAGUUUGAGGAAAUACACGAAAAAGUCGAAGUUUCGAAAUGAGUAUUCAUUAUUGAGUACUUAUCUACUUGAAUGGCACGUGGUGCUCACAAUAGCAAUUUUGUGUGGACCAUAUACGUUUAUCUUCGUUACAUCUCUGUAUGCUUAGUAAUCUAGUGCAAGCAUGAUCCCAGGAUACUGUAUUGUUUCAUGC